UUGGACAUUUUCUCUCCCUCGCUCAAACCGAGAAGCUUCGCGUUUCCUUAAAGGUUUUGUCUUCUUCUUCUUUUUAAACUGGAUAUUAUGCGUUUCGUCGUCGCAUCCCAUUCUUUCUUAUUUAAUUAAACCUGCAAUAUUGAACUACCUCCUUCCAAGUAAAAUCAAAACAGGGUUUUUUUUUUUUUUUAGCUUUUCCUUCCUUGUGAGUGGAAGAGCGCCUUCGGGUAUUUUCAAGGUUAGUUUCGUCCGAAGGUUAGUUUCGUCGCGACGGAAUUAAUGUUUCCAAAACCGACUGGAAAAAUUAUUGUAAAUAAAAAAAUACAUUUUUAUUAAAAAAACAAUAUUUUUCUGUUACUUUAUAUAAAUUUAAUGUAUAGAUAAAAUAAUUUAUUUAAUAAUAUAAUAUUUAAUGAUAAUUGUUUUCAUAAUAUAUCGAAUCUAUCGAAUCAAUUAUCGAUCGAUGUGGGAGAUCGAUUUGACUCAUAUUUUAAUUUACGCAUACUUUUUAUUUUUAUGUAAAAGUAAUUACAAUUUGUGAAACAUGAAUUAAGAAUAAUUAGCUUUAUUAGUGUGAAAAACACAAAGUUCAAAACGGUAUAUAUCGCAGAAGCACUCAUCUUGACGCGUGAAGUUAGCGCUAGAGAUGAUCAUCUCUGACUCGAGCCAACUUAACACAGUUCUCUGUUUUAGGGGUUCACAUGUCUUCCGGAACGGAACGGGACGCUGGGUUCACUUUCUUUCCGGAACGGACGGGGUUCACUUUCUUUUCGGAACGGAACGGGACGCGGGACACAUCAGCUCCCGAUCGAGUCUUCUUAACAAAUCAUAUAAUCGGUAAAUAUGACGCAUAUUUAGCUUGUACUGCGUUUCAUUCGAACGUGUAUUCCUCGUAGCGUAAAUCGCGACGUGUGGAACGGUCGGGCAAUUCUAACAUGCGACAAUAAUUCCGUGCCAAAGUCGAUCGCGCGGGAAAGGCCGCGAGUGAUAUCGCAUCGCUAAAAAUCGCUUCAUCGGUAAUUAAUCUUGCAUUGUCCGAAGUGUAUUCCUCAUUUAAACGUAGAUCGCGAUGCGUGGAGCGGUCGCAUGCAACCGUAAUAUCCGAUAUUCGCAUAUCCGUGCGAAAGUCGAUUACGCGGGAAAAGUAUCUCAUCCCUUCGCCAUGUUAAUUAACAGCGUUCCUUUUUCACUUGCAGAAUCCGUAACAAUCCUGAGAUGCAUUGGCCCUGGGAGCGGAUAUCAUUGCGACGUUCGAUUGAAUCCGUAACAAUCUUGAGAUGCAUUGGCGCUGGGAGCGGAUAUCGUUGCGACGUCCGAUUGAACGCAACAAAUGUGAAACGACCGCCGCCGCUAGAACAAGUGAUAUCACAAAGUAUUUAAUCGAAGGCGACGAAGGUGGAACGACCCAGCGUUGUAUAGAACGGCAUCGCAGAUCAUAACUGUAUCAUCGUUGCUAACUAACGAUCCGCAGUUUCUGAGAGGAGGAGGAGGCCUAAGAGAGGCAUCGGGCAUCAGUGGAGCAACUUAGCGAAUCAUCGUAGCGACGCUGCUGCUGAUAACUCCACUGCUGCGCAUCGGUCGGUGAGAGAUAAAGAUUGUAUAUUAAUAAUUAAUUGCAUGUGUUGCAUGAAUUAGAUUUAUAUAAAAAAUUAUUAUUUAACACCAAGAUUCUCUUGCUGUAAACCAAAUAAAGCAAUAAUGUAAUUUUUAAAAAGUAUGUGAUGUGAGAGUCUAUAAAUUGUUUUUUUACAAAAAGAAUGUGUAUAUAAAGUUUAGGGAUUUUAACGCAUUAAGUUCGAUAAAACGCAAUGUCUCUUGCAACCAGGAAGAGGUUAAAGAGGAAAUUUAAAUAAGAGACGAAUAAUCAAUCAUUCUAAGAUGUAAGAUGAAACAUUGAAAAGACAGAAACGUCCUCGAUUAAUCGCUGAUCAUUUUUAAUUAUCCCUAAUUAUUAAUCACUUAAUUUGUAAUAUUUAAUUGUAAUUAUUAAUUAAACAAUUAAUUAAAUUUUGUCUAAUACUGCUGUAUAUGAUUUUAAAUCUCAUAAACUUUUCAUCUCAAUCUUGAUUCGUUGUUACUUAUUAUGUUUAUUCUCAAACGCAUUUUAUGUAAAUGUUCAGAAAUAGAGAUUCAAAGAGAAUAAAUAAUUUCUAUUUAAAUUAAUAAUUUUAUCUUAUUCAUGUAUUUAGGUUUUAAUGAUAUUUCUUUACAUGUAAAAAUAUAUACUUUUUAAAAAUUACAUUAUUGCUUUAUUUGGUUUACAGCAAGAGAAUCUUGGUGUUAAAUAAUAAUUUUUCUGUGAACUUAAUAUUUGUAGCUAAACUGUUCUAAUUUAGAAUUUCUUUUUCUUUAAAAAAAUUUUCACAGUAUAUUCAUUGAAACUUUAUCUUUUUUAAUACUGGUCGAAUCAUUAUUUGAAUCUGAAACAUGCAAAAGAUUUCAUCGAUAAUAGAAAAGUGAUAAAGGAUAGCUACGGACGGCAAUGUAAAAUAACCACAUAAUCGAAUACAAUGAAUCAUGAUUUUAUUUGUUAUAUAAUAAUAUCUACAAUAAAAAUACCAUAUCGUUUGAAAAACAAUUUUCGUUACAAUUAUACAGUAAUUUUAUAUAAUAAUAUAUUUAGGUUUUUUCGUUCCAAAUAAGACGUAGCGAUGAACAUACACCUCGCGCAGUGGGAGUGAGAAAAUACAUUAUUUUUUUGUCGCAAAUUUCGCGUGUGGUUUCGUCACUCAGCGUGUGAAUUUGUGUAUGUGUAUGUGUGUAUCUCUUGUUUUUUGUUUUUUUCUUUCCCCUCGAGUGUCGGCCUUUUGCACGAACACCCGAGACGAGCGUGACCCGCAUCGCGUGCGUGGGAUCGCAUCGCGAUUUUAUUUCUUCUCUCCAACUUUCGGUCUCACGUUAUUCGGUCAUUCGAAUUUCCGAAAUAAAGGAGUCCUCGUCGUUAGAGAUGAUCGCAUGAAUCGCCAUCUCGAGUGUCCCGUUUCCUUCGUGCCUUGCACGCCUUCUUUUCAUUCGCUUCUCUUUUUCUUUUUCUUAGUAUGUGCAGAGAGUGUGUUGUAAAAAGCGUUGGACUCCGCAGAGAGCGGGAUUCCAACUUUUCACUGCGCGCGACCGCGCGGACAGUAUUCCCCCCUCCCCGCUUAAGUCUCUAAAUUAGCUACACUUAAUAGUUAAUAGUACCGUAAUAUCAUCUCAAUAUAUAAAUAUAUACAUAUAAAUAUACAUGCAUAUAUAUUUAUAUUUAUAUAUGUAUAUAUCAUCGUGUAUUAGUUUAUCAUAAUAUAUAGAAAAUACAUAUAACAAUUAUUUAAAUGACUCACAAUCAAUCAUCUUGCCAUAGCGCGCGUAUACGACGAGCGUACAUGCGUACAGUGCUCGUACGCGUAUACGCGCCCAUGUGCAUAUCGUGUGUACAUAUAUAUUUAUAUAUAUAAUAUUUAUAUAUAUAAUAAAUAUAUAUAUAAAUCUAUAUAUAUAUCGAUGUGUUAAUUACAUGAUAUUUUUUUUACACUCGUCGUACAGAGGGAGGAAAAGGAUGGCGUGGAGGCUCGAGGGAGUGGAUGAGGAAUCGGGAAGGGGAUGGAGAGGGGGAUAGAUCUUUCACACAUUUACAUUGUUUCUCUGUCGUACUGCUAAUUUAUAGGGUAAUUCUCAUCGGUAUCUAGUCGAUAUCUUACAAACGUUUUUCUUUUUUUUUUGUCUAGCUUGUACUGUAGUACGUAUUCUUGCAUCUAGUGAACACGUCUCGUCGUCCUGUGUCCCGGCAGGCAUUUUCGCCGUGCCGCUCGUAGCGUCUGCCUUCGAUCAAUCUUUCCCUUCAGUUAUUUUUUACGUAUCGCGGUGUCUGCGCCUUUUUAACACGUGACAUUUGAAAACCUAUACUCUUAUACAUGCGGGUCUACGCAAUGAUACAGAUAUCUGAAAAGAAAAAGAGAGAGAAAGAUUUUUUUAAUGAUUUUUGACAUUAGCAUUUUAAUGCGAUCUUCGUAAAUAAAAUUACGUGAAUGAAUUAAAAAAGAUACAAUUAUUGAACGCGUGAAAAUAACUAUAUUAUUCUUUAACAAAAUAACACAUACAACUAAUAGAGUGAAUGGAAACAAAAUGCAUUUGAAACUAGUUGCUAAUCUUAUUCUCCUGCCGCAAAUCAGUAUGUAUUACAAGUUUCGUUUCCAUUUUGAUUUAGAGAACUUUUCGUAGUUCUCAUUGAUUUAAUUGUUAUGUCACGUUACAAAAGGUGGUUUCUCUUUCCUCUCUCUUUCCUUAUAUUUUUAAUGCCAUUGCAGAAGGUAUCAUGAAUUAUCGCAUAUAUUACGAACCGAGAAACACUCGGUAAUACUGAAAUAUUUGCGGCUGUGUUUCCUGAGACCUUCAUAGUUUUCGUGAUGUUUUUUAUUCGGUGACGUUACGAUUGAAUUCAGAGUCGCCUUCGUGUUUAUCUCGCGAAUGAUUAUCGUUACGCAUGUGCAUUGCAAUAUCUAUCGUUUGAUAUUAAAAUUCAGGCAUUUGAAUAUCUUUUCGCCUAAAAAAAUUUUAUGUUUCUUCUACUCUUAUGAUUUAUCUCUUAGUAUAAUAAGAGAUACAUUAACAGAUAAUAUAAUGCAGUUUUUUAUCUAAAGUUUAGCAAAAUUAAUAAGGAAUGUAUAGAUUUCCUUAUUAAUAUUUUGAUUCUCGCUUUGAUUAUCAUUUUCAUAAAUGGCGACCCUGAAAAAAAUCGCAUGUCAUACACGUGAUGAUUAUAUUCACAAAAGAUGGAUGUUCUCACUAUUUUCCAAUGAAACCAAACUUUUCGAAAUGUGCAUUUAGUUUUCGAUCAAAGUUGCAAGAUCAGUGAUUUUUGCGUCGUAAUAACGCAAAACGUAACGAGAUUUUUAAAUAUCUCCGAAGGAUUCGAUCGAAAACGAAAUUCACAAAAAGCCUCUCUCGCAUUCCAGCUUUCUUCCAAUCGUAAGCUAAGCAUAUCUAAAUUCGUCUACAGCUUUUAAACUGGAGAUACGAAGUUUCUAAGAACUUCUCCCCGCUGUCGAUUAAGACGCUUCGAAAGAUUGUUACAUUUUCUUUCUCUCUCUUUCUUUUUUUAAAAUGUUUCUAUUAUUGUUACAUUUUCUUUAUCUCUCUUUCUUUUUUUUUUUAAUGUUUCUAUUAUUGAGCGGAGAGGUAUUGCUAUGUGGUUAUCAAGAAGACUCAUUUU